AAAUUUUCCCGCCUGGUCUUAUUGUUGCCUCAGGUCAGACGUCGCCUAUUUUUUCUGCCUGACAGUGUAAAUUAAUCUCUCCGAGUUGCCUCAGGCGGCGCCCAGUUAACGUUGGUCCGUCAUUGUUAUCACUCCGGUGGCAGCAAGUUAGUCAUUUCAGUUUUCCUGCUUCGUCUUCGAGUUGCAUGAGAAGGGUCAGACGAGCGCGAGGUUUUUUUUUCUCGACAGUGCAAUCGCUCCGGCAGGUAAUGUUCUAUACAGGCUAUGAGAAUAAUUAACAAUAAGGUCUGAAUGGUAUCAUGUCUUAGGUAAGCACUGUUUUAUAUAUAUUAAGUAAAUGGAUUUAAUUAUUGUUAAGGAUAUAGAGUUUUCUUUAUUUGUUUAUAAUAUGU